rnacentral:rRNA from 1 species
AUUGAACGCUGGCGGCAGGCCUAACACAUGCAAGUCGAACGAGCGGCGGACGGGUGAGUAAUGUCUGGGAAACUGCCUGAUGGAGGGGGAUAACUACUGGAAACGGUAGCUAAUACCGCAUACCAUCAGAUGUGCCCAGAUGGGAUUAGGUAGUAGGUGGGGUAAUGGCUCACCUAGGCGACGAUCCCUCGCUGGUCUGAGAGGAUGACCAUCCACACUGGAACUGUGACACGGUCCAGACUCCUACGGGAGGCAGCAGGGGGGAAUAUUGCACAAUGGGAGCAAGCCUGAUGCAGCCAUGCCGCGUGUAUGAAGAAGGCCUUCGGGUUGUAAAGUACUUUCAGCGAGGAGGCGUUACUCGCAGAAGAAGCACCGGCUAACUCCGUGCCAGCAGCCGCGGUAAUUC